UACGUAGGGUGCAAGCGUUUGUCCGGAAUUAUUGGGCGUAAAGAGCUCGUAGGCGGUGUGUCGCGUCUGCUGUGAAAACUCAGGGCUCAACUCUGAGCUUGCAGUGGGUACGGGCACACUUGAGUGCUGUAGGGGAGACUGGAAUUCCUGGUGUAGCGGUGAAAUGCGCAGAUAUCAGGAGGAACACCAAUGGCGAAGGCAGAUCUCUGGGCCGUAACUGACGCUGAGGAGCGAAAGCAUGGGGAGCGAACAGG
rnacentral:rRNA from 1 species